ensembl:snoRNA SNORD114-21 small nucleolar RNA, C/D box 114-21
UGGGUCGAUGAUGACCACCGGUGGCGUAUGAGUCAUAUGUGAUGAAUACGUGUCUGGAGCUCUGAGAUCUGU